rnacentral:tRNA from 1 species
GCCUGGGUGGCUUAGUUGGUUAAGCUUUCGACUUAGGUUCAGGUUAUGAUCUCACAGUACAUGGGUUCAAGUCCCACAUCAGGCU